AUUUCUUGAUGGAAAUACAUAUAUAUUGGUGAAUACACAUCAUCUUUAUUUUAACCCAUAUACAUUUAUUAGCUCUGCGAACAUGGUCUUUAGAUUUGCAGGAGAGAACCUGAGGAUGUUAUUUUUUGGUAGUACACAUGCCAUUGCAAACCUAGCUAGAUCCCUUCUCUCCAAUUAAUGCCAUCUGAAUUAAUCCACGGAUCCGUUUCCAUCGUGUGUCAUUAGGAGGUCCCUUGAACAAGCAAAAGCACAAUACAUAACAUUUCAAUUGCAUAUGUUUUCCAAAACGAUCAUGAGUAUAAUAAAAGGAUAAAAUAUGUCUAAAGUCCAAACUCUAGAGUAUGAUAUAUUCCGCUUCUUGGAUAGGGUUGGAGUUGAGUACCUCUGUAUUGCCAAGGGUGGAGAAAAGUGCCUCAUCACCAUAAUUUCCUUGUUGGUAAGCUUCAUUUCCUUCGAGACAAAUCCUGUUUCUUAAAAAUAGCACAACAAAAACAGCCAGUUCUUAAACAUGGUCUAUGCUUUCAGAUUUCCUCGUUGGUUCCAAUCCUGAUUUUCCAGCUUCUUCUUGAGUGUCCACGUUUGCUUCUAAUCAAAAGAAUAUGCUGCAUUAGUGUACGAAUUUCAAUAGCAGUUUCGUCAGGUAUCAUGACAUCUUGUAAUUUGUGAUUCUAACAAUUACUGUCUUACCUGCAAUUGCUAAACUUAUACAGUGAAAAUACAUUUCUAUGUUGAAAGAACUUCUAUCAAUUCGAUCAUACCAAUAUUUUAGCUGAUGCCAUUACAAGAAAAAUUAGCUGCAAGCAGAACCUGAGAUACUGAGUAUACAUACUUGUGAGCUAAUCUAUUUUUUCAGUUAAUUUAAUAAAACUGAUUUAAUGGACCAUAAAGUCCAGAGUCUCAAAUCUCUGAACUCGGAUAACAAUAGCAGCAUAGUAUUGUGGUUGUAUCAGAAAGGUAACUUACACAUCAUAUCCUUCUAUCUCUUUGUGGUC
rnacentral:lncRNA from 1 species